rnacentral:RNase_P_RNA from 1 species
UGAGUUGGCCAGGCGGUCGCGUUGCUGAGCAAUCAGUACCGAGGAACGUCCGGGCUCCACAGGGCAGGGUGAUGGCUAACGGCCACCCGAGGUGACUCGCGGGAAAGUGCCACAGAAAACAGACCGCCUCACUUCGGUGAGGUAAGGGUGAAACGGCGAGGUAAGAGCUCACCGCGUUCCUGGUGACAGGAACGGCACGGCAAACCCCACCCGGAGCAAGACCAGACAGGAAGCGUUCGAGGGCGGCCCGCCCGAGCUUCCGGGUAGGUCGCUAGAGGCGUGCGGCAACGUACGUCGUAGAUGGAUGACCGCCCACGGUGGUUCGCCACCGGGACAGAACCCGGCGUAUAGGCCAACUCAUCCG